rnacentral:rRNA from 1 species
CCUACGGGGGGCUGCAGUGGGGAAUAUUGGACAAUGGGGGAAACCCUGAUCCAGCAAUGCCGCGUGUGUGAAGAAGGCCUGCGGGUUGUAAAGCACUUUCGGUUGGGAAGAAAAGUUUGGCGCCAAUACCGCCGAACCUUGACGUUACUGACAGAAGAAGCACCGGAUAACUCUGUGCCAGCAGCCGCGGUAAUACAGAGGGUGCAAGCGUGAGUCGGAAUGGCGGAGGGGGUCACGUACGUAGGGUGUCAAAUCCCCGGGCUUAACCUGGUAACUGCAUUCGAUACUACAUGGCUAGAGUAUGGUAGAGGGAAGUGGAAUUUCCGGUGUAGCGGUGAAAUGCGUAGAUAUCGGAAGGAACACCAAUGGCGAAGGCAGCUUCCUGGACUAAUACUGACACUGAGGCACGAAAGCGUGGGUAGCAAACAGGAUUAGAUACCCCUGUAGUC